AAUUAAAUAUAAAACGGCAGCAAAAUCGCGAUGAUAUUGCUUUCACAGAAAGUGUCUACAUGAUUUUAUUUUGAAGUUUAUUGUGUCUAAAGGAUUUUAUUUAGAGGUUUAUUGUGUCUAAACGACUUUAUUUUGAAGUUUAUUGUGUCUAAACUAUUUUAUUUUGAAGUUCUUGCACUUCCCGGCCUGAGACUAGAGGCUGCACUGGAAGUGACCCCACACUGGAGGUCUGCAGCCAGACUCUUGGAUUUACUUAGUGCUGACAAGAUUAAAUUAUCCAGUUUAAUUGUAUAGUAGCCAGGCUGACAGUUGAUUAUAAAAUAAGCUAUAGCACGAGAAUGAAGAUGAAUAGUUUAAGACACAAUCUCGGGGUGUAACCAGACUGUCUUAUUUUGUAUGAGGACAGAUAAGAAUGAAGAGGAAGGGAGAUAUUUCAGGCUUUUUUCUUUUAAGAAGCACAAAUGAGGCACAGCUCAGGUCCAGACAGACUCCAGCACCAAUGUCAGCAGCCCUGGCAGCUCUGAAGCUGCAGCUAGUCAGGCAGGUCAGUGUGGUCAGACACAAGGACCCAGUCUACCAGCCCCAGGUCAGAGCUUACAGAGGCAGUAAACUGCAUGCCCAGUUAGGACACUGAGCAGUUUGGCCUCACUCUGUAACAAUAGAUGAUUGUGUGUGUGAUGUUAUUUUGUUGCUGUUUUAUUUAUUUUGACGCCAUCUGUAUUUUUCACAAUGCAGUUUCCUCAGUUGUUGAGAGUGACACAUACGUCUGCCUCUGAGGAGGAAGACAGUGAGCCAGAGCUGCUAGGAGGAGAUGCCACUGAACCCCCACAUCCACAUCAAGCUCCACAUAGUGUGCACCUAAAGGACCAAGUGACAUCUCAAGAUCCAGAGAGGAGGGUCCUGUUCAGCCGUGUCUGAAAAUGUUCCCAAGAACUCGACAUGAAACAAGGAAGAGGGCGUUCGACAGUUCUUGGUAUACGGACAAUUCAAAAAGGAGGAGAAAUCCUCUUUGUGUUUUUUUUGUUGUUGUUUUUUUUUUUAAUCACUUCGCAGGUUAAUCAAUCACCCUCCAACAGCCAGAAAAGAGAAAUAACUCACAUUUAAUUUGGCUUUCUUUAUUUCCCACAGAUAACUACAAAAGUAACCAUCAGUGUAGCCUAUUGUAUUUUUUCCCAACAGCGUAAUUUUAAAGUCUGUGUUUCUAGUUUGCUGCUGCAUUGAGUAUAAGAUUAAAUGACUUGUAGUUCAAUCUGUGGACAGUAAGUGUGUGUCUGCCUCUAAUGUUGGGUCCUGGGGGUGAGUGACGCCCUCAGCCUCUGGUCACCCUGCAGCCUGACUCAGGAUCAGCUCCUCAGCCUCUGUCGGACGUGGUGGAGGUGAGAACCACUUCAUGUUCAACUACUCAGCAGGAUGUUAGGACACAGAUGUGUGUUAAACAUUAUCUGUUGGUGGUAAAAGCUACUACAAGUUAAAAUAUCCACUGAAUAAACUUUUACUUUGUUCAAUAUGUGAAAUAAAACCAAAGUGAGGAGCCAUCGUGA